CCAGUUUGACCAGUACCAUUUGUUGGAGAUGCUCUCCCCCAUUGAUACUUCAAACUUCUUUAUGAAAAUCAGGAGACUGUACAUCAAUGUCUAGCACUGUGGAAAGUAGCAAUCAAGGAAGAUGUUUCCAGGAUCUGAAGUUUCCUGAGAUGAGCCAGCCUCCCACUGAGCAGCCGAACCAGUUUUUUCAGACAAGUUCCCGCUUUGUGGGGGAAGGGUUUUCCCCCACCUUUAAAUUCGAAGCUACCCAUUAAAUAUCAAGUCUU